rnacentral:rRNA from 1 species
AAGUCGAGCGAACAGAGAAGGAGCUUGCUCCUUUGACGUUAGCGGCGGACGGGUGAGUAACACGUGGGCAACCUACCUUAUAGUUUGGGAUAACUCCGGGAAACCGGGGCUAAUACCGAAUAAUCUAUUUCACCUCAUGGUGAAAUACUGAAAGACGGCUUCUCGCUGUCCCUAUAGGAUGGGCCCGCGGCGCAUUACCUAGUUGGUGAGGUAACGGCUCACCAAGGCGACAAUGCGUACCCAACCUGAAAGGGUGAUCGGCCACACUGGGACUGAAACACGGCCCAAACUCCUACGGGAGGCAGCAGUAGGGAAUCUUCCACAAGGGGCGAAAGCCUGAUGGACCACCGCCGCGUGAGUGAAAAAGGUUUUCGGAUCGUAAAACUCUGUUGUAAGGGAAAAACAAGUACAGUAUUAACUGGCUGUACCUUGACGGUACCUUAUUAAAAAGCCACGGCUAACUACGUGCCACCAGCCGCGGUAAUACGUAGGUGGCAAGCGUUGUCCGGAAUUAUUGGGCGUAAAGCGCGCGCAGGCGGUCCUUUAAUUCUGAUGUGAAAGCCCACGGCUCACCCGUGGAGGGUCAUUGGAAACUGGGGGACUUGA